rnacentral:rRNA from 1 species
GACGGAGGAUGCAAGCGUAUCCGGAAUGAUUGGGCGUAAAGCGUCCGCAGGUGGCAGUUCAAGUCUGCUGUCAAAGACCGGGGCUUAACUUCGGAAAGGCAGUGGAACUGAACAGCUAGAGUAUGGUAGGGGCAGAGGGAAUUCCUGGUGUAGCGGUGAAAUGGCGCAGAUAUCAGGAGGAACACCGGUGGCGAAGGCGGUCUCUGGGCCUGUACUGA